rnacentral:misc_RNA from 1 species
UCCUGCUUUCACAGGCAGUCCCUUUAGAGUGCUCAGCCGAACUGCUAGCAACUAAAGGCAAGGGUUGCGCUCGUUGCGGGACUUAACCCAACAUCUCACGACACGAGCUGACGACAGCCAUGCAGCACCUGUGUUGCCGCUCUCUUUCGAGCACCCCCGCCUUUCAGCAGGGUUCGGCACAUGUCAAGGGUAGGUAAGGUUUUUCGCGUUGCAUCGAAUUAAUCCACAUCAUCCACCGCUUGUGCGGGUCCCCGUCAAUUCCUUUGAGUUUUAAUCAUGCGACCGUACUCCCCAGGCGGAAUGCUUAAUCCGUUAGGUGUGACACCGAAGGGCAAGCCCCCCGACGUCUGGCAUUCAUCGUUUACGGCGUGGACUAC